UUCUAUUAGUUAUCAUUAAUAGUAAAAUCUGCUCCAUGAAUAAUAAAUAGCCGCAAUUUGUGCUAAGGUAGCAUAAUCAUUUGUCUUUUAAAUGAAGACUAGAACAAAAGAUUUAACAUUUUCAGUUCAUUUUCCAAAUCUUUAUAUCAAAUUUAUCUUAAAUGUAAAAAGACAUUUAUUAAACAGAAAGACGAUAAGACCCUAUUGAACUUAACUGUAGUUAAACUGGGGCAGUAAAUUAAUUAUUAUUUUAAUAUAAAUUAAUAGAUAAGUAUCUAAUAACAUUAAUUAAUUCAGUUACCAUAGGGAUAACAGCGUAAUAGUAUUUUAAAGAUCUUAUUAAAAAAACAGAUUACGACCUCGAUGUUGAAUUAAUAACCUAAUUAAAGCAAAUUUUAAGAAAGGAAGUCUGUUCGACUUUUAAAAAAUUACAUGAUUUGAGUUCAGACCGGUGUAAACCAGGUCGGUUUCUAUCUUCUCAAAAGUUUUUUACAGUACGAAAGGACCUAAAAAUAUAAUC
rnacentral:rRNA from 1 species